GAGGCGAACCGGGGGAACUGAAACAUCUAAGUACCCCGAGGAAAAGAAAUCAACCGAGAUUCCCCCAGUAGCGGCGAGCGAACGGGGAGCAGCCCAGAGCCUGAAUCAGUGUGUGUGUUAGUGGAAGCGUCUGGAAAGGCGCGCGAUACAGGGUGACAGCCCCGUACACAAAAAUGCACAUAUUGUGAGCUCGAUGAGUAGGGCGGGACACGUGGUAUCCUGUCUGAAUAUGGGGGGACCAUCCUCCAAGGCUAAAUACUCCUGACUGACCGAUAGUGAACCAGUACCGUGAGGGAAAGGCGAAAAGAACCCCGGCGAGGGGAGUGAAAAAGAACCUGAAACCGUGUACGUACAAGCAGUGGGAGCACGCUUAGGCGUGUGACUGCGUACCUUUUGUAUAAUGGGUCAGCGACUUAUAUUCUGUAGCAAGGUUAACCGAAUAGGGGAGCCGAAGGGAAACCGAGUCUUAACUGGGCGUUAAGUUGCAGGGUAUAGACCCGAAACCCGGUGAUCUAGCCAUGGGCAGGUUGAAGGUUGGGUAACACUAACUGGAGGACCGAACCGACUAAUGUUGAAAAAUUAGCGGAUGACUUGUGGCUGGGGGUGAAAGGCCAAUCAAACCGGGAGAUAGCUGGUUCUCCCCGAAAGCUAUUUAGGUAGCGCCUCGUGAAUUCAUCUCCGGGGGUAGAGCACUGUUUCGGCAAGGGGGUCAUCCCGACUUACCAACCCGAUGCAAACUGCGAAUACCGGAGAAUGUUAUCACGGGAGACACACGGCGGGUGCUAACGUCCGUCGUGAAGAGGGAAACAACCCAGACCGCCAGCUAAGGUCCCAAAGUCAUGGUUAAGUGGGAAACGAUGUGGGAAGGCCCAGACAGCCAGGAUGUUGGCUUAGAAGCAGCCAUCAUUUAAAGAAAGCGUAAUAGCUCACUGGUCGAGUCGGCCUGCGCGGAAGAUGUAACGGGGCUAAACCAUGCACCGAAGCUGCGGCAGCGACACUGUGUGUUGUUG
rnacentral:rRNA from 1 species